AACAAGUACCGCGAGGUAAA
rnacentral:snRNA from 1 species